rnacentral:rRNA from 1 species
GUUCGAUUCCGGAGAGGGAGCCUGAGAAACGGCUACCACAUCUAAGGAAGGCAGCAGGCGCGUAAAUUACCCAAUCCUGACUCAGGGAGGUAGUGACAAGAAAUAACGGACCGAAGCCUAUGUUUCGGGAUUGCAAUGAGUAGAAUUUAAACCCCUUUACGAGGAUCAAUUGGAGGGCAAGUCUGGUGCUAGCAGCCGCGGUAAUUCCAGCUCCAAUAGCGUAUAUUAAAGUUGUUGCAGUUAAAAAGCUCGUAGUUGGAUUUCAAGGGCCGCAACGUGGAUACACGUCUGCUCCCUACCAGUCUUUGACUGUUACUGUGAGAAAAUUAGAGUGUUUCAAGCAGGCUAUUGCAGGAAUACAUUAGCAUGGAAUAACGAAUGUGUCUAGAAUCUUGGUUAAUUCUAGAAUACGAUUAAUAGGGACAGUUGGGGGCAUUAGUAUUUAAUUGUCAGAGGUGGAAUUCUCGGAUUUGUUAAAGACUAACUUAUGCGAAAGCAUUUGCCAAGGAUGUUUUCA